AUUAUUUUAAGCUAUAUAUUAGGAGUAAAUAAAAUUUAUGAAAUUAAAAAAUUUUGGCGGUAUUUUAAGCUUAUUAGAGGAAUUUGCUCUGUGAUGGACACAACGCCUUAAUCUUACUUAAUUUAGUAAUUUAAAUCAGUUUGUAUACCACUAUAUUAAUUAUAUUGAAUAGUUAUAUUUAAUAUUUUUUAAAAAAAAUAUAUUAAGUCAAGGUGCAUCUAAUAAUUAUGAAUGAAGUGAAUUACAUUAAUUUUAAUGUAAUUUUUUACAUGAAAAAAUUAAUUAGGAUUUAAUAGUAAAAUACUAAUAUUAUGAGUAUUUGAAUCAAGCUCUAAAAUAUGCAC
rnacentral:rRNA from 1 species